rnacentral:rRNA from 1 species
AUACGGAGGGAGCAAGCGUUGUUCGGAAUCACUGGGCGUAAAGCGAGUGUAGGUUGUCAGGUAAGUAGGAUGUGAAAGCCCGGGGCUCAACCCCGGAAUUGCAUUCUAAACUGCCUGGCUAGAGUCCCGGAGAGGGAGGUGGAAUUCCGAGUGUAGAGGUGAAAUUCGUAGAUAUUCGGAGGAACACCAGAGGCGAAGGCGACCUCCUGGACGGUGACUGACACUGAGACUCGAAAGCGUGGGGAGCAAACAGGAUUAGAUACCCCAGUAGUCC